ACCGGUUUGGCUCAGUGGAUAGAGCGUCGGGCUGCGGACCGAAGGGUCCCAGGUUCGAUUCCAGGAGGCAGCU
rnacentral:tRNA from 1 species